rnacentral:rRNA from 1 species
AACAAGGUUUCCGUAGGUGAACCUGCGGAACGAUCAUUGU